ACUCCUACGGGAGGCAGCAGUGGGGAAUAUUGCACAAUGGGCGCAAGCCUGAUGCAGCCAUGCCGCGUGUAUGAAGAAGGCCUUCGGGUUGUAAAGUACUUUCAGCAGUGAGGAAGGUGGUGUCGUUAAUAGCGGCAUCAUUUGACGUUAGCUGCAGAAGAAGCACCGGCUAACUCCGUGCCAGCAGCCGCGGUAAUACGGAGGGUGCGAGCGUUAAUCGGAAUUACUGGGCGUAAAGCGCAUGCAGGUGGUUUGUUAAGUCAGAUGUGAAAGCCCGGGGCUCAACCUCGGAAUUGCAUUUGAAACUGGCAGACUAGAGUACUGUAGAGGGGGGUAGAAUUUCAGGUGUAGCGGUGAAAUGCGUAGAGAUCUGAAGGAAUACCGGUGGCGAAGGCGGCCCCCUGGACAGAUACUGACACUCAGAUGCG
rnacentral:rRNA from 1 species